UCCGUAGGCGGGUAAUUAAGUCAGAGGUGAAAUCCCACAGCUUAACUGUGGAACUGCCUUAGAUACUGGUUAUCUUGAGUUUUAGUGAAGUAGAUAGAAUGUGUAGUGUAGCGGUGAAAUGCAUAGAUAUUACACAGAAUACCGAUUGCGAAGGCAGUCUACUAACUAACAACUGACGCUAAUGGACGAAAGCGUGGGGAGCGAACAGGAUUAGAUACCCUGGUAGUCC
rnacentral:rRNA from 1 species